rnacentral:lncRNA from 1 species
AGAAACCAGAGUUGGUAAUGAAGGAAGAAAAGAGGGAGCUGAAAACCUUUACGAAAGUUUCUCUCAACUUUCUUCAAGCUAUAACCAAAAGAGAUAUGUGACCUUUUCCCUUGUCAGUCUUCCCAUUUCAGAUCCUUAUAUUAUUAUAUUGUCUAGUAGUUAUUUUUGCUUAUACUUAUCAUCAGCCAAGCCAUCUUUUCUUUGAAACACACACACACACAGAGACUUUGACUCAAGGGAGACAGUUGAGUUGUUAUUAUCUGUUUCAGUCAGAGUACAUAGUACAGUACAUCUGUUACAAAGGGUGAGAAAGGUGAUGUAGAAAGAAUAAGCUUGAAAUGAAUGGACUGAUAAUGGGGGAUGUAAGAUAACAAGAUGCCACAAUGCCAACACUGAAGAAAUCAAAUGUUCUCCCACAUAAUGGAAGUGCAGACUCCAUUCAUCAAGUGUGCGCCAUCUAAAGAAGCUUGAAGUACAAUUUCCUUGGAUGCAUAAAAAACCAUUUUCUCAAUGAAUGUGUCAGCUGUUGAUAGAAAUAUGAGUGAGUGAUAUUGAUUUGAGAGGCACUGACUUAAUUUGAAUCAAAAUUGCACAGUUCACUGCUGCAGGCUACAUUAGUGCAGCAUGGCCUAUUAUUAUAGAUUCCCCUAUGUAUAAAUAAAAUAUACUUCUCGAUUUAGUCCCAAAUGCUGAAGGUUUGUUGACAUCUGGUAGUUUUCAGAUCUCAAAUUUAAGUGGCAAAUCUGUGCAUAUCCUUGAG